ACCCGAAACUUCUAUUCUGCCCACUCUGUCAGCUUAGGCAUGCGAUACAAUUUGAGCAUUUCGAGAGCUGGAAAAACAAUGCGUGUGUCGUUGUUCACCAUUCCGUAGAAUGAUGAAUUUAUAAACUUCAAACCGCUCAUCCCUCAACACAAGGGACUUGAGAUUGGGCAAGUGCCCCAACAUUGGGAUCUCUUCACAUUCUCUGCAGUCAUCGAGUGAUACCGACAUUAACUUGUUAAGUACCACAUCUCCAACUGCCAUCUUCUGAGUCCAUAAUGGAAAUCUACUGCCAUUAAAUCCACUAAUCUCUAACUUCUUCAAGUCCGAGUGAGGUUGGAGGCCUUCCAAUACAUUCUCAUCAUUUGAUUCACCUUCUCUAUCCCAAUCCCACUUCAAACACAAAUUCAAUAUUUUUGACUUUUUGAAUAAAUUGGCUUUCCCAGCCUCUUCCUUGUCACGAACCCUUUCGAGAUUGUGAAUCUCUAACUCUCCUUUAAGAUUAUUCAAACUUCCGAGCUCUUCAAUUUUGCACCCAUUCUCGUCCCCCACUGGGAAGUACUUCAGCGUUUGGAGAGAAGUUAAUCGCCCGAUUCCCGCAGGCAACUCUACAUCAUCAUCAAUAUAAAGAUGCCUCAAGUUAAUCAAGUACUUAAUCGUACUUGGCAGUUUCUCCAAAAAUGCGUGUCUACUCUCAACGUCUGCAAGUGAAAGAAUUCACCAAUCCAAUCCGGCAAAUAUUCAAUACUUGUCUUUGAAAUGUCAAAAUAUCUCAAAUGUAUCAACUUUCGAAUCGAACUUGACAACUCUUCAACUCCAUAACCUUGAAGACGUAAAACAUGCAGACUUUCGAAGUCUGAGAAGUUGAUACCAGAAAUAUCACCUUCCAAUAAUAAUGUACGCAAAGAUUUUGCCAUUUCUUUUGGGAUAGGAUUUGUUAUAUCGUCUCCGAGAAUCAUGUAUCGAACUCGGCUGCUACCACCAGUAUUGUUAGAGGAACUUGAAACAGAAGAAGCGAGAUCGUGCACAAGAUCGUGCAUGCUACAACUUUCUACAUCUCCGUACUCAUCUCUCUUUGAAACUUGCAGCAAAGAGUUGUGCAGAAGAACGUUGAUAAAGUUUUCGCCCACAGACUCCAUGUCAUCCCUUCCAUCAGCUUGAAGAAAACCUUCUGCCAUCCACAACUCAAUCAGUUCCUGUUUCAUAAUUUCCCAGCCUUUAGGAAAUAACGCACAGUACGCAAAGCACUUCUUAAGUAAUGGCGGAGACAAAUUAUCAAAGCUCAAUCUCAAUAUUUUUGAGAUAUUAGCUCCUUCAUCUUGUGAAAGCCAUUUCUGCUCGAUGGAGAGCCAUUUUUCUUCGGAUUUAUUGCGCAGCACUCCCCCAACCACGUUGGCCGCUAAUGGCGAACCUUGGCAUCUUCUUGCAAUCUUUUUUCCAAUACUCUCAAAUUCCAUAGGAACAUUUCCUUCACCGAAGGCUUUGACUUUGAUUAUGGACCAACAAUCUUCCUCUGACAAGCCUUUCAACUCAUGUGUAUGAAGUGGAUUCACAAUUGAAGCACCCUCCAUACUUGUAUAAAGUGGAUUCGCAAUUGAAGCAACCUCCAUACUUCUGGUGGUAACAACAAUUGCAUUUCUCUUGACAGAAGUAACUCCCAGCAAGGAAUUGAUAAAAUCUUCCCAUUUUGAAGCAUCUCGAUUCCAGACAUCAUCAAGAACAAGAAGAUAAGAUUUAUCUUUCAAAGCUUGUUGAAUCUUUGAAAGAAUAUCUUGCUUACUCUCAACUUCAACUUGAUCAGAAGAAGUCAACUCUUUGAGAAUUUUCUUGAAAAGAAUGAUUGGAUCAAAAUUUGGAGAAACAUGCACCCAAAUAUGUGAUCCAAACCGAGUCUCAUGCUUGAGACGAUUGAAGACUUUUCUAGUCAAUGUCGUCUUCCCCAAUCCCCCCAUACCGACAAUGGAAAUGAUGGAAAUUGUGCGUUCAUCACUUGUGAUGCUAUUGGUGGUAAGCAUCUCAACUAUUUCCGACGCAACAUCAUCUCUUCCAAUAAAAAUUGGAUCAAGAGUGAAUGAAUCAGUUUCAAAAAUAGCAGCAUUAAGCAAAGUGGGCACAUCGGCAGCAAGCCUCUCAUUGAGGCCAAGCCCAGCUCCCUCUUUGUGAAGGGAGUCCAAACUCUCAUUGAUUUCUCGGAUUAUAACGGCCAUAUUUCUUGGUCGCGCAAUAGAAUUGAAGGAUGAUGAGAAGCACGAUAGUACCUUCGCCUUCAAGGGUUUGGUGCGCUUAAUUUCUUUGGAGAGGCGAUGAUAGUUGAGCUCAUCCAAAACGUUGUCAGCAUCGAACGCCACGUCUUCAAGCUUCUUCAGCCAGCUCUUGACAGCCUCGCCGACGCCGGGGAUGCUGCGCUGCUCCGCGUCGUUGAGGAACUUCUGGAUGGUGUCGAGACUCCCAGUUAGCUUCGCUGCUUCUUUGUCGAGACCUCGGAUUAAUGAGAAUUCAUUCUUGGAAUGGUCGAUGAGGUUUUGAACCAGAACUUUGAGGAUGGCUGCAGCAGCUUCUCCUUCCAUUGUUUCUACGAUCUGUGUGUUGUAUAGAGAGAGAAUUAGUGCAAAUGAAUGACGCGGGUGUGGGAUCAGAUCUUUCAAUGGCUCGACAUCAAAACGGCAAAUCCGAGAGAUAUCUUUCAACACUUCAUUUCUUUCAUUGCGGCUGGAAAAAAGAAGAGAGAAAGAAGACUGCUUAAUGCUUUGUGGGUGGGAACAGUGUGGUUGCUCUGGGAAAGCAGGAAUGGUAGUCGUUUUCAGGACAAGGCUUGGGAUAUUGAUAGACUUGUCUUUCAGAUUAAGGGGAGACUUUGGAGUUGGAACGAGGCCUACAAAAUCUUGGAGUUAGGAAUUCCUUUUACUUCUUGGUGUUCCAAAGACUUCAAACUUGUUUUGUUGUUCUGAUUGGCAUUCCUGAUGCCUUGAUUCAUUUUCUUUCAAUAAAAAUUUUACUUUACUGAUCAAAAAAAAAAAUGAAUGACGCGGGUUUUAAGAUGAUGUGUUGAAGAGCUUUACAGCCUUUUUCAUAUUCUAGAUAUGGUUUUCUUUUUUCAUUAAUUUUAUAUAUUUCAAUCUUUGUCGACACUUUUUUUUAUACUUUAACCAGUUAGGGUGCCUCUAAUCAUAAACUCCAUUUUUAGUUUCCAAAGUGCCACAUCAUUGUCACAUCAGCUUUAGAAACUCACCUACUUUUUCUCUUACAUCUCCUCCAACAAUAAAUUAAUUUCUUAUUUUUUAAGGGUCCCACUAUAAUACAUACUCCCUCCGUCCACCAAAUAUAUGCCACUUUACUUUCGACACGUGUUUUAAUAAAAUGUGAGUGAAGUUGGCAGUGGAGUAAGGGUCUCAUUUUAAAUGUGAGUGGAAUGGCGUGAACCCUACUACUAAAAAUGGAUGUUGCAUAUUUUUUGUGGACGGACGAAAAAGAAAAUUGUGGCAUAUCUUUGAUGGACGGAGGGAGUACUUCAUUUAUAUAUCUAUAUAUACAUUAAUUUUAUUUCAAUUACUAAUUUAUAUAUUAUUUAUAUAUUUUAAAUAUAUAUUUAAAUUAAAUUUUAUAUNUUUCUUCUCCAAAGGUUUUAGCUUUGAUUAUCGACCAACAAUCUUCCACCGAUAAACCUUUCAACUCAUGUCUAUGUAGUGGAUUCACAAUUGAAGCAACCUCCGUACUUCUCGUGGUAACAACAAUGGCAUUUCCUUUGACAGAACUAACUCCCAACAAAGAAUUGAUAAAAUAUUCCCAUUUGGAACGAUCUUCAUUCCAUACAUCAUCGAGUACAAGAAGAUAAGUUUUGUCUUUCAAAGCAUUUUGAAGCUUUGAAAGAAUAGCUUGCGUACUCUCAUUUUCACCUUUAUCAGAAGUCAAUUCUUCGAGAAUUUUCUUGUAAAGAAUGAUUGGAUCAAAAUUUGGAGAAACAUGCACCCAAAUAUAUGAUCCAAACCGAUUCUCAUCCUUGAGACGAUUGAAGACUUUCCUAGUCAAUGUCGUCUUCCCCAAUCCCCCCAUCCCGACAAUGGGAAGGAUGAAAACUGCGCGUUCAUCAGUUGUGAUGCUACUGGUAAGCAUCUCAACUAUUUCCGACGCAACAUCAUCUCUUCCAACAAAAAUUGGAUCAAGAGUGAAUGAAUUAGUUUCCAAAGUAGCAUUAACCAAAGUGGGCUCAUUGGCAAGUUUCUCUACGAGGCCAAGCUCAGCGGCCUCUUUGUUAAUGGACUCCAUAUUUUCAUUGAUUUCUUUGAUUUUAAGAGCCAUAUUUCGAGAACGUGAAAUAUGGUUGAAGCAUGAGAAGCAUGAUGGUACCUUUGACUUCCUGGGUUCAGCGGGCUUGGAUUGUUCGGAGAGAAUAUCAUAGUUGAAUUCAUCCAAAACAUUGUCAGCAUCGAACGCCUCAUUUUCAAGCUUCUCCAGCCAGCUCUUGACAGCUUCGCUGGUGAUGUCACGCUUCUCGGCAUCGUUCAAGAAGUUCUGAAUUGUUUUGAGACUCCCAGCUAGCUUUGCUGCAUCUUUUUUGAGACCUCGGAUUUGUGAGAUCUCUUUCUUGCAAAGGUCGAUGAGGUUUUGAACCAGAACUUGAAGGACGGCUGCACCAGCAUCUUCCAUUGUUACUGCUCUUUGUGUGUGGGGGAGAGUUUCUUUCUGCUCUGUGUAUGCGAGAGAGAAUGAGUUGGUGCAAAAUGAACAAGAGUUGACAAAAUUUCUAUUUAGAUCUAGACUUUGUUUUUCAUUUUUCGAUCUAGUCUUUGUUUUUCAUUUUUUAAAUAGAUUCCAAUGUCAUCAUCUCGUAAAUAACAAUAUGUUUUUAUAGAACCAAUUGUUUUAUAUCAACUAGGCAGCAAUAUGAAAAUAGAGUCUUGUUAUUAAUGAAUCCAAAUAGUAACACUGAUCAAUUACCACCUUAAUGAAUUUUCUUUCUAACAAAAACUAGGACAUACUUAUUCCAGCUUGUAUAAAUAUUUGUUAUAUAAUAAAAUCUAAUUGACCUUUAUUACUAAAAAAAAUUAUGUGCCCUAAUUUAUUUAUAAAAAAAAUGGCACUGCAAAUUAAAAAUUGUUUUUCUGGCAGCCGCCUCAUGAUUACCGACGUCAAAUGCCUCUGGUAAUCUCGCGUUUUUUUGUAGUGUCCCUAUAAGAUGGUGAGAAAAAAAAAAAUUAUACUUGUGAGUUCCAAUAAUAUCCAUCGUUUUAUUCAAUAGAGUAAUCUAUUUAAAAUAAUAAUUAAUAAUUUACUAUUUAUUUUAUCCUAAAACUCAUAAUCUUCAAAUUAAAUAUCAUAUAAUCUAUGGUCCUCAAAUUAUUAUAAGAGAUAAUUCUAUUCAUAUCCACCGUUUUAUUAUUUGUUGGAUGCUAUCGAGUCAUUUUGUCACCCACACUAGAUAAAGACCUUCAUUCUUCCACAAUUCUCUAAUUCAAAUUUCUUUUGUCAAAUUGAUUUACUACUGGUGAAAGUAUAUAAAGAGGAAUAAGGAUAAAGAUAUUGUCGUCGUGAAUACAAAUUCUUCAAUCAAGAUUGCGAAAAAUUUGAAUUUUUUGAACAGAGAAAUGAGGGGUUGGAGAGUUCUCUUAAAAAAGAGAGAUGUUGGGAGGUUUGACUAUCCUUGGUGGAAAAAAAUGAAAAUAAUUUAACUUAUGAGAAAGCACAUUAUCUUUAUUAAUUCCACUUGUUUUGUUUCUACCUUGACUUCUUCUUCAUCAUUCAAUUAUUCUUUCUCAUCGCGUGAAUGUAUUGAUCUAGCGGUGAGUGAUUAAAUACUUGACAUCAAAGGUCUUGAAUUAUUGCACGGUCUUUAAAUUUUUUUAUUUAAUAAUUGUAAUUUAUCAAAAAUACUAGAAACAAAUAUUAUUGACUAUUCUACUCAUUCAAAUGGAAUAUACAUUAAAAUUAAUACUUAUUCUAUGUGAGGGCAACAACUCUCCGACGACGAAAACUCAAUAAUAGAGCAGCAAGUCUGUGACCAUUUUUCAACCACUAUGACGAGGAAAACUCUAUAAUAAGGUUUUAAAAUGAUAAGGUGACUCAUCAUCAGUUGUUAUAAACUCUAUAAUAAGGUUUAAAGAUAAGGUCAGUCAUCAUUAGCUGGCAUAUUGAAAUGUUCAAAGUAAGUGCUUUUAAGAAUUCUUUAAUGUUAUUAUUAGAGAUAACAUAGUCUAUUAUAUGAAUACAUUAUUGUACAAGAUAGUUUAAUUUGUGUUGAAUUAAUCAUCAUAAGAUUUGAGAGAUCUCUUUCUUGGAGAGGUCGAUGAGGUUUUGAACUAGAAAUUGAAGGGAAGCAGCUUCUCCUAGCUUCCAUUGUUUCUGCUCUUUGUGUGUGUGGAAGAGAGAUUUUUUUUUUUGUUUGAUAAAUUAUAUAAUUAACUAAAGAAAUUUAAAAUCCGCACGAUGUUGAACUCGAACUCAGGAUCUCAGACUUUGACAUGAAUCACCUAGCUACCACUAGGUCAAUACAUGCACACUGUGGGAGAGGGAUUCUUUAUGCUCUCUGUGUGUGUGAGAGAGAGAGACAGAUUGGUGCAAACUGCAAAAGAGAUGACUAAAAAUUCUAUUUAGAUUUAGUCUUUGUUUUUCAUUUUUUUAAUACUCCCUCCGUCCACCAAUUCAAGGCCUACUUGCCUUUUUGGUCCGUCGACAAAAACAAGGCCUACCUAUUUUUGGUAAGUCUUUAUUCAUUAUUUAAUCAAAAAAGUCAAAGAUUCUUUACAAAAAAGUGGGACCCUUUCUCCACUCAACUAAUAAAAUACAUUUUUUUCUUAAAACCCGUGUUUUUUCAUAUAGGCCUUUAAUUGGUGGACGGAGGGAGUAGAUUUCAAUGUAAUCAAGGCAUCUUUUGCGUUAACAAGUGGUAGCUUGCUUUUCUGGCGCUAGUCAUCAUUUCUCAAUUCAUAAACAAUAUUUGUUUCUAAGAAAUGAAUUACUAUUUUUUAUCAACAAGGCAGCACUACAAAAACGACCGAUCGAGUCUUGCUAUUAAUCUAUUCUAAUAUAAAAUUGUCUUGGACAUAAAAUAUAGAUCGAUCGCUUUUUAUUUGGAUUGAGAAGUAUUAUUUGGAUGAGUAAGUUACUGCGUGUUAGUGAUCGGUUGCUUAUUUUUGCUGAGAUUGUUGUUUUUAAGUUUUCUGGUGCUUGAUCAUGUUUUUGCAUAUGAGUUUGGUUUUGGAUUGAAAGCAGGAAGAUUGUGAUGUGCGACUAUGUCGAUGCCAGUAGGUUUGGGUAUAACUGCUCGUUUGGUUCAAGUAGAGGAAUGGAAAAAGAUGGAAUCAAAUAAAGGAGUGGAAUGGUAAAAAUAAUCAUUAGUUUAUUAGUGUUUGGUUUAACAAUAAAAAUGAAUUAUUAGUAAGCGAUUCCAUUUCUUUUGUUUGCCCUCUAUUUUGAGGGGUACAAAUUGAGUGAUUGGGUUACCCUCAAGUAAGGGUAAUGAUUAUCUCAUUACCCAAACCAAAUAACAAGUAAUGGAUUCAAUUACUUGUUUCUCUUUCCAACCUCUAAAAACACUCAACCAAACGUGGCUAAAUCUUAUCGGUAUUGAAGUUCUUGCCAACUUCUGCAACUCAGAAGCUGCACAUUUGUGCUGCAAAGUGAGGUGUUCUCUUCAAUUAUGAUACUUACUUAAGUCUCAUAUUGCUUAAGCAUAAGUUGGAUUUGUGACUACAUAAAUACACAGUACUCGAAGGACUAUAGCUGCAAAUAUGUUACAUGAAGAGCCAUGCAUGCAAAUAAGGAAAUAUGCAUAGCCGGAAUUAGUUGCAACAGUUUGCAGAGGGGUAUAUCCCGAGCUAGUUUGGGAAGUCAUCUUAGCAGCAUAUUUUGGAUGACUCUAUCAAAUUAAUCGAGCUCGAAUAUCUUGCGAGUAGCUCCGUUCAUUUACAGUCCUAGAUGUAAGUAUUAGGGGGGCUAAACCACGUAAAUCCUUUGCUCUUGUUUGUCAAUUGCGUUGCUGAGUUCUAUCGGAUCGAUUGCUACAAUUUCUUGGUUUUGUCCAACACGUAGGCUUUCUAAUUGCUGAUUAUAUCCAUAGCGAAUUUCCAUUAAAUCCUUCAUUACGCCCAACUCCCUAUUUCUUUCGCAGUAUGGCUUUUCUAUUGCUCUUCAUUCGCAGAAAACAGCCGGUCUUCAAGUGUUGGGCAUAUAUUUAUCUGGAAGAAGAAGAGCUGUCAAGUCGUACUACGACUCGUAUUAAUUAUCACGAACGUGAAACUCUUUCAAAUUCUUACGAUCGCGCAAGAACAAAGCCAAAAGAAGAUUACAAUUUUUCUCUACCCCUUUCCAAAUACAAUCCUCGUCCUAUAUAUAUAUGAGAGAGCAGGACGAAACUUAUCUUGGAAGGAAGGAAAUUAAACUUGAUCUUAUGGGCUUAAGCACGGCCCAACAAAAUAGCUAAGCAAAGAAAUAGAAGCCCAUUUAAGCAGUAUAUCGUGUGGGCCUUCGGAUUUCUCUACGCGGACGACUUUGGGCUAGACUUGGCUCUUCCCCCACAUGGCCACAUGCACAACAUAGUAAUGGGUUGGGCCUCUUGGGGUUGAGUUUUCAGUUCGACAUGUUUCCCAUUUUCGAGCUGCAGAUAAUGGAAGGUAACAUGAGGCAAGCACAUGUGUACGUCGAGAGACGAAACAACAGAGAAGAUUCCGGAAGUGACGGCGACGACGAUGAUGAUAGGGAGGAGGGUUACCUCUUAGGAUUCUCAGAUAGUGAUCCUGCAGAAGAUGGAGAGAACCCAAGAGAAUGCAGCAUUAGCUAAACCUCUCAUUUCCCUAUUUCUACUUGAAAUACUACCUUGUUAUGUUACUUAAGUCUCAUACUGUUCGUGACUAGCUCUAGAAUUGUCCUACAUUUAUUUAGAGUAUAAUUUAGUUCCCAUUAUUUUUGUAGAAUAUUUAACUCCCUUUAUACGGCUGGUAUCAUUAAUAUCACUAAUUUUAAGAAUUAUUAGCAGAAAGAACGUAUGUUACAUGUAAUUAAUAUUAUUUUAUUUGAUAAUCUAUUAUUUUAGAAAAUUUAUUAAUUCAUUACUUUUAUUAAUUAGAUAACUUAUUGAAUGGAUAUAUUUAUCUAUAAGCUUAUCAAUAGCUAUAGAUAUAUAUCACAUAGAUUUAGUGUAAUAUCUAAUGAAUUAAUAUAUAUAUAUUCUUAUAAUUAUAUAAUUUGUAAAAUAACCUUAAAAUGAAAUAUAUAAUAUGGGUAAAAUAGGCAAUCCACAAGUUGUGCCUUGAUGCCUUAGGCUCUUUUUCUAUUAGUAUAGAUAUAAAAAUCAAACCUUGAUUUGUUUAUUUUCCAUACAACUUCAAAUAAAUUAAGGUUAUUAGCCUAUAAAUACACAAAAUUUUUAAACUUUCUGAAAUUUAAUAUGACUUUUAUUAAUACACAAACUUAACGUUUUUUUUUUUUUUAACACCGCGAAAAAAACUCUAUUUAUUGUUGACGUAGAGGCCGUACAUGACAUGUACUACGGAGUUGGCACGUCAAAUUAAAUGUAAUCAAAAUAUUUUGGUUUGAUUUGGUUUAGGUUUAAGCUUUUUUUUUCUUUAAAUUUUUAAACAUUUUAAACGAGGCUAAUUUCGAAUUGAGAUUAAUGUGGAGCCCCUAUUUCGAUCCAUCCGCUCAUGGCUACUUCUCAUCACUUGAAUAUUCCUGGAGUUAAUUGAAACAUGGUAGCUUGAUGAAUGGUAGCAAAUAAAAAAGAGAGCUCUCCCCUCUAUGCCACAACCACCACUUCCUCCACCGCCGAAGCCAACACCUAACACCAUUGAAGAAAUUCAAGAAUUGGUAGAUAGAUAAAGAGGAACAUUUAAUAAUUUAGGAAUCGGCCUUGCUAAUUUCAGGCCUAACACGAUAACUAUCUGAUCAGCUUGAAAUGGGAUGCUGGAAGUGAGAUUCAACGUGACCUUGAGGCCAAUGGGCGUGCGGCGCGCAACAAAUUCCUCAUUGACGUUGGUCUGACUUGAAUCGAGCUAUAAGAGCACGGCCGAACCUACGGUCGUCAACCAUAAAUCAAUGGAAGCUACUCUAUUAAGACUUUAGUGAGACUAUCUCAGCUACCAAACAAGGAAAUAAAAGGCAAACAUGUUUGCUAUCUAAACUUAUUUUCUAAGACCUGUAAUAAUUGUUCUACAAUGAUAGUCCAUGCAAAAUGAAAAGUUGUUUCAAAUCUUCAACACUUCAUGCUAAAACAGAAUGGGGAAAUCAUUUACAGUCACAAUCAAAAGGUAGAGGAAGACAUAACAAAAAGUCACAUAGUAUAACAUAAAUAUAAAAACAUGAGUAGAAGUGGAGAUGCUUUGUCUGUCUGCAAAUUGAUAUUCACAUGCAUCCUCUUCAACUUUCGGCAUAAUAAUCCUAUCAACAAAAGUUCAAAUCAAAGAAUAUAUGGGAAAUUACAAUGUGACGAUUCUUAGCAAAACAAAAUUAUGAAAAGAGAUUGAGCAAGUCAUCAUCAUGGAGAAAAUGGACACUCACUCAAUCCUUCUUCAUUGAUCCAUUGCUUCACCUCCUAAUUUGUUAGAAUCACCUCAAUGACAAAUGACGAUUCACCGUAAUUCUGUAGUAAACAAACUCAAAACAAUUAAUCUCAUAUCGUUUAAGCAUAUCGAGAUGAAGUGGAGCACCAAACGAAUAACAACUGAAUUGGAAUUAAACUCCAUAAAGUAAGAUACGGUACCUCAAUUUCUGAUAAUUUUUUUUUCAAAUAAAUUAAAUACACAUGUAAUUGUUUCUAUAUAUAUAAAAAUAAAAAAGAAAAUAUAUUGAUACUCACUUUGACGGUCAAUGUUGAUGUUGGGGAUAUGGGAAACCUUGGGCCAUUCAGAAUCAGCUGCAUCACUUUUAAUCACUAAUUCCGGGGAACCCAUAAUAUAUAGUUUUUUUAAUGUUGUGAGGCGAUGCAUUGCAUCCAUAGAGGGUAGACGCCUUAGCCUUUUGCAGUUACAUAACCACAACUCCUUUAGGGAUGAGAGGUUCCCAAACCAUUCAGGUAACUCUUCCAUUCCAAAAUUAUUUAACUUUAGCCUAGAAAGAGCAGUGAGAAGUUGAAUUGAUUCCAGUAGGCAUUCUCGACUUUCCAUCCCCGUCAAAGUCAAGCUAUAAAGCGAGUGGCAGCAUCCUUGCAAUAUGGCAUCCACAGUCUCCACCCCCAUACUAACAUCGAUACUUAUUCGUCUCAAGCUGGGAAAAGGCGAAAUCUCAAGACCACAAGUGGCCAUAAAUUUAGGAACUCCUUCGACUCUCAAUUCUGUUAGACGAGGUAAUUUUGGGAGGCAGUCAAUUAGCGCUACUUAAUUCCACCAAUGACAGCUUCUCAAGAGAGAAUCCUAGCAUUUCACAUGGCAAAUGCUCCAAUGCUUUGCAUCCACUAAUCCAGAUUUCGCGAAGGGAUGUGAAGCUUCCUUGUGAUUGUUCUCCACCGCUAUCUCCUAAUUCUCUCAAAUUGGAGCAGUAACUUAUUUCCAAAUGAGAGAGAGUCUGGUUGUUACUGAAUAACCAAUCAGCUGGGAGACAUUCCACACCAAUUACAAUGAUUUUCAAAUGUUGAAGGCAUGACGAGACAUGACUUGGAACACUCAUCAAUUGCAAGCACAAAUUAAUUUCCAAAUGUUGGAGGCGAGGAAAUAGCUUCACUUCACUUCCACCCGAAACUUCUAUUUCUGCCCACACUUCCAGCUUAGGCAUGUAUUUCAAUGUGAACCUCUCGAGAGCUGGAAAAACAAUGUGUGUAUCUUUGUUCACCAUUCCGUAGAAUGAUGAAUUUAUACACUUCAAAUUGCUCCAUCCAUACAACUCAAGGGACUUGAGAUUGGGCAAGUGCCCCAACAUUGGGAUCUCUUCACAUUCUUCGCANCAUUAACUUGUUAAGUCCCACAUCUCCAACUGCCAUCUUCUGACUCCAUAAUGGAAACCUACUGCCUUUGUAUCCAGAAAUCUUUAACUUCUUCAAAUCUGAGUGAGGCUGCAGGCCUUCCAAUACAUUCUCAUCAUUUCUUUCACCUUCUCUCUCAUCACCCCAUUUCAAACGCAACUUCAAUAUUUUUGACUUUUGGAAUAAAUUGGCUUUCGCAGCCUCUUCCUUGUCAUGAACCCUUUCGAGAUUGCGAAUCCGUAGCCCUCCUUUAAGAUUAUUCAAACUUCCGAGCUCUUCAAUUUUGCACCCAUUCUCAUCCCCCACUGGGAAGUACUUCAGCGUUUGAAGAGACGUUAAUCUCCCGAUUCCCGCAGGCAACUCUACCUUCUCAGUAAUAUAAAGAUGCCUCAAGUUAAUCAAGUACUUAAUCGUACUUGGCAGUUUCUUCAAAUAUUCUGAGACUACUCUCAACGUCUGCAAGUGAAAGAAUUCACCAAUCCAAUCCGGCAAAUAUUCAAUUCUUGUCUUCGAAAUGUCAAAAUAUCUCAAAUGUAUCAACUUUUGAAUCGAACUUGACAACUCUUUAACUCCAUACUCAAGACGUAAAACAUGCAGACUUUCGAAGUCUGAGAAGUUGAUACCAGAACUAUCACAUCCAUAUGAUAUUAAUAAUGUACGCAAAGAUUUUGCCAUUUCUUUUGGGAUAGGAUUUGAUUCUUCUUUUUCGAGAGUCAUGU
rnacentral:lncRNA from 1 species